ACGUAGGAGGCAAGCGUUAUCCGGGGUUACUGGGCGUAAAGGGCGUGCAGGCGGUUGGCUAAGUUCGUUGUGAAAGCGCCCAGGCUUAACCGGGCGAGGACAAUGAAGACUGGUCAGCUAGAGGACGGUAGAGGUGACCGGAACGUGUGGUGGAGCGGUGAAAUGCGUAGAUAUCACACGGAACGCCGGUGGUGAAAACGGGUCACUGGGCCUGUCCUGACGCUGAGACGCGAGAGCGUGGGGAGCAAACAG
rnacentral:rRNA from 1 species